rnacentral:rRNA from 1 species
GACCCGUCUUGAAACACGGACCAAGGAGUGUAACACAUAUGCGAGUUUGCGGGUUAAAAAACCCAUAAGCGCAAUGAAAGUGAGUAUAAGGUGUGAUACUUCUAAAAUGGAAGUAGCAACAUCGACCGACCUUGAUCUUCUGUGAAGGGUUUGAGUAAGAGCAUAUUUGUUACGACCCGAAAGAUGGUGAACUAUACUUGAGCAGCCUGAAGCCUGAGGAAACUCAGGUGGAAGGGCGCAGCGGUACUGACGUGCAAAUCGUUCGUCAGACUUGAGUAUAGGGGCGAAAGACUAAUCGAACCAUCUAGUAGCUGGUUCCCUCUGAAAUUUCUCUCAGGAUAGCUGGAACAAUUUCAAGCAGUUUUAUCAGGUAAAGCGAAUGAUUAGAGGACUCGGAGCUCAAAGAGCUUUGACCUAUUCUCAAACUUUAAAUUGGUAAGAUCUACCCGUUCUCUUAAUUGAACUGGUGGGCAGAAUGCAAUGUUCCAAGUGGGCUUAUCGUGGUAAGCAUGUUAAGCAAUGAGGGAUGAACCUAACGCUGAGAUAAGGCGCCUAAAUUCCCGCUCAUCAGAUACCAUAAAAGGUGUUGAUUCAUAUAGACAGCAGGACGGUGGCCAUGGAAGUCGGAAUCCGCUAAGGUGUGUGU